GUCAGGAUGGCCGAGCGGUCUAAGGCGCUGCGUUCAGGUCGCAGUCCACUUCUGGGGGCGUGGGUUCGAAUCCCACUUCUGACA
rnacentral:tRNA from 1 species